UGUGUGCCUGCCCAGCGACGGACUGGCGUCCCGUCCCGGGUGUACCCUCUCUUUGCGAUAUUUGCUCGCUGGGAGAGACUCCAGCUCCCCCCCGUGUACCGUGUCCCGUGUCCUGGAGAAGACCGUUGGAAAUGUGCUGGUCGGAAAGCAGACACUUCAACUCUGUCGCGGAAAACACCGCGCUGUAAAAUCACGCAGGGGGUUAUAAUGGUUCGUUACUGACGCUUGAACGGAGUAGAGAGACUGUCGGCGACGAAAGACCCCGAUUCUUAGUUUGGAGUUAAAUUCUGUGUCUGUCCUACAGAGCACUGCUUUAAUAAGUACUGUUUUUUUUUUUUUGGAGAGCAAAAAAACUCAGUCUUCUGAUUUGAAAACAAAAGGAUCUCUCGGAUAAAUUUCAUGCAUUUCGCAGAUAUUUGUUUUAAUUCCAUUUGGGGUCUUAAAGUCUGGCUUUCACGCCACAUAACGGCGUUUUUUUUCCCUUCCUUCUCCACCUCAGAGAGUACAUACCCGCGGAUUUCAAUAUCAGGGCUCAGCCGUGCUUGGGGGGGGCAUUUCGAUGUUUUUAAGGCUGUAAGCGAAGGACCCGACCGAGGAGCCGGACUCUGCGGUCGGACCGGGGUUGUGUUCGGACCCCCGGUUGCUAGGAGACGAACCCCUGCGCGAGAGGUCCGGAGCCGCCAGAGGUCCUGUCCCCGGAACCGGGUUGAAGAGCCCAAUAUGCGUACAGAGGCUUUUAGAACGGCGCUGCCCUCGCACAGCUGCCAGGAGCUCCUCGCGGUCCGCCCGGGCGCCGCCCAGUGCAACGCGAAGCCCCCCCGGGAUGAUGACUCCCGCCUCUCCGCCCUGCCUGACUCGCUGCUGCGCUCCGUCGGCCUGCGGAUUGAGAAUGUCACUCGUCUUCCCAGGUGGGAGAUCUGGGGGGGCUCAGCGAGGUUGGACCUGGCCAGUCAGUGUGCUGGCGUGCCAGUUAAUCAGUGUGUCUGUGUGCCAGUUAAUCAAUCAGUGUGCCAGUCAGUCAAUCAGUGUGCCAGUCAGUCAGUGCACUAGUCAGUCAGUCAAUCUGUCCAAAGUGCUGUCUCUCACAGGGAUACAUCAGUAAAGGCUGACUCACCCCUCACCCUGUCUUGCCGCUCUGUUACAGGUUCGGGUGUCGAACCCGGGGCCUUCCCACUGUGCUUUGUCCUCCAGGGCUGCACAGCUGUGACGCUGGCUGUGAUCAGCUCCUGCUGCACCUACUGCCUCUCCCACUGAUCAGGUCAGAGCACCUCUCGAUCAGACCGGAGUACUGUGCCCACGUUCUGAAAUAGAUAUUGUUCUUCAUUCUUAAAGGAAAGAACUAUACAGUACUGCCAGGCUGGAGAUACUGAGUCUUUUUAGUCUGAAGGGAGUGUCUCACACUGACAGGCUAGAGAAACCGAGUAUCUUUAGUAUGAAGGGAGUGUCCCACACUGACAGGCUGGAGGAACUGAGUCUCUUUAGUCUGAAUGUGAUCCACCGAUCGGGACAGGAGAGCCUUCCCUUCCUCCACCUCCUGUCCCUGUAGGACAUUCUCCGGAGCUCAGUCAGUACACUAAAAGCAGGCUUCUCAUCAUGAUGCUUCUUCAUUUCUGUCCCUCCAUCCGUCUUUGUGGUCUGGACACCGAAGAGCCGCAGGAAACCGGUGGAGCACAAGGGACGGGAACAGUCUCGACGAUGACCCCGUAACCACACGCAAAUAAAACAACUGCCGAUAUUUGGCCUGGUCAGACCAGCAGUGAAAUCCAAGACGUACUGUAGGAGUCUGUAAGACAGCUUCACUCAAGAUACACUUCCUCACAGUAUACAGACACACUAAAGACCAGAGAUUCAACACACACACACACACAUACACACACACACUGAGACUCAGCUUGAGUGAGGCUGGAGUCAGAUGAGCUGUUAAUAAACUUGCUUUCAUUUCAAAACACCUUCUUAUGAACCAGGACACAUACUAAACUCACAUUAUGCACACCUGGUAAUCUAACAGUUUACACGGAACUAAGACCCGAGAUUAUACACACACAGAUACAAAGGAUAACUAACUGUUAUUCUACACAGAGCUUGUCUUCUUUGUCAGUAUGCAGACAGAACAAGACAGCAGAUUCCAC
ensembl:lincRNA